rnacentral:rRNA from 1 species
AGAGUUUGAUCCUGGCUCAGAAUCAACGCUGGCGGCGUGCCUAACACAUGCAAGUCGAACGCGAAAGCCCCGCAAGGGGUAAGUAGAGUGGCAAACGGGUGAGUAACACGUGGGUGACCUGCCUUUGAGUGGGGGAUAACGUCCCGAAAGGGACGCUAAUACCGCAUGACAUGCUUUCUUUGAACAGAGAGACAUCAAAGCCUGGGACCGCAAGGCCAGGCGCUCGAAGAGGGGCCCGCGCCCGAUUAGCUAGUUGGUGAGGUAAUGGCUCACCAAGGCGACGAUCGGUAUCCGGCCUAAGAGGGCGGACGGACACACUGGGACUGAGACACGGCCCAGACUCCUACGGGAGGCAGCAGUGGGGAAUUGUUCGCAAUGGGCGCAAGCCUGACGACGCAACGCCGCGUGGAGGAUGAAGAUUUUCGGAUCGUAAACUCCUGUCGAGUGGGACGAAAGAUUCGCGGGUGAACAAUCCGCGGAAGUGACGGUACCACUAAAGGAAGCCCCGGCUAACUCCGUGCCAGCAGCCGCGGUAAUACGGGGGGGGCAAGCGUUGUUCGGAAUUACUGGGCGUAAAGGGCUCGUAGGCGGCCAACUAAGUCGGACGUGAAAUCCCUCGGCUUAACCGGGGAACUGCGUCCGAUACUGGAUGGCUUGAGUUCGGGAGAGGGAUGCGGAAUUCCAGGUGUAGCGGUGAAAUGCGUAGAUAUCUGGAGGAACACCGGUGGCGAAGGCGGCAUCCUGGACCGACACUGACGCUGAUGAGCGAAAGCCAGGGGAGCAAACGGGAUUAGAUAC